UUCAUUUCUUGUAAGAAUGAUCAAAAUUUUGCUAAAUCAUUUACGAUGUGUUUAUGCAAUAAACUGGAAGUACAUUACUUACAAUUAAAAGAUUAUAUAAUUAUAAGUCAAUUAAACUUUUUUUGCAAAAUACUUUACAACUAUUUUAUCCAUUAGCAAACCAAAAAAAAAAAAAUUACAAAACAAAGAAGGACGACUUUGGAUCUUCAUUCUUCGUUCCUUGGCUUCAUCUUCGUGUUUGAUUUCUAAAAUAAUGUCGAG
rnacentral:lncRNA from 1 species